ensembl:snRNA U7 U7 small nuclear RNA
UUGUAUUACCGCUCUUUUAGAAUUUGUCUAGCAGGCUUUCUGGUUUUUGCCGGAAAGCAGCCUCU